rnacentral:lncRNA from 1 species
AUGGCAGCGGGAGCCCAGAGGAGUGAUUACAGCGGGAGUCGGGGCAGACGGGGCUGCGGGAGAGAUUCAUUACAUCUCAGUAAAUCAUCUCUGACUCGAGGCUUGCCGGGCAGGAGGCAAGGCAGAGUGGCAGCCGGCCCUUGUCCGGUCCUCCACGGCAGCCCCAGCCUGCCUCUCUCCCUGGAGCAGCAGAUCCACAUCUGUGCAUCAGGGAAAAGGCAGUUCUCAUGGCAGAGAGAGUGGAUUCCAGGCUGCUCUGGGCAGAUCACUCAGCCUCCUCAUGUGCAAAAAAGGGGGUGCUCCUGCCUCCGCCCCCACCCCGGCACAUGGUGGGUGACUGAGAGUCCCAGACGCGUCACCGGUGCCCGGAGCCUAGUCCAGGGUCGGUCCCGCCGAGGCCACGCUGAGGGGCUUCUCCGCCUGGCUCUGCUGCCCUCCUCGGCACUGGCUUUCUUUGCGGUGUGUCAGUCCCUUUGGAUUUGCUCCAGAGGGGAUUUGACAAGCCCAGCAUCUUCGGUUUGCCAGCUUCUCUUCUUGCACUGUGUAGCGGAGAGGCUCCUGGGUGCCCAGCUUGCUCCUGUUUGUCUUUGCAAACCUGUUUGUUCCUUUGAGAAUCAGUUCCCGUCCCCGCAGAGGCUCACAGUGGUGAACCUCCCCCACCUGCUCCCUGGGGGUGUCCGAGGGUGGGGUGGGUGGGUGGAGGGACUGCAGGAGGAAACCUGGGUGGACUGGCCAGCCUGCCUUGGGCAGAGGGUGAGCAAGAGCCCCAAACUCAGGCCAAGGUGUGGGUUCCAUGCCCAGCGCUGCUACGUCCCGGUUAUGAAGUGGGGACUGUGGCCCCUAAUUCCCUGUGGGCCUUGGAGGAUUAAAUAAACAGUCCUGGUGAGAGCCCUGGGAUUGGAAGUGGGGAGCAGGUAGGGGUCAGAUCAGGCAAGGCUUGUGAGCCCAGCUCCGUGGGUGGGCUUUCUCCGAGGCCUCCAGGAACCACAGGUGGGAAGAGUCUUGGGAGGACCCCAGGCAGGUCUGGCUCUCAGGGUGCAGUGUGGAGGAUUCCCAGGAGAGGGUGAGGCUGGAGGGGACCCAGGAGAGGGUGAGGCUGCCGUGUGCAGGAUUCCUAGGCGGGGGUGAGGCUGGAGGGGACCCAGGAGAGGGUGAGGCUGCAGUGU